rnacentral:rRNA from 1 species
CCUACGGGUGGCAGCAGUGGGGGAUAUUGGACAAUGGGGGGAACCCUGAUCCAGCGACGCCGCGUGAGUGAAGAAGUAUUUCGGUAUGUAAAGCUCUGUCAGCAGGGAAGAAAGCAAUGACGGUACCUGACCAAGAAGCCCCGGCUAACUACGUGCCAGCAGCCGCGGGAAUACGUAGGGGGCAAGCGUUAUCCGGAAUUACUGGGUGUAAAGGGAGCGUAGACGGCCGUGCAAGUCUGGAGUGAAAACCCAGGGGUCAACCUUGGGACUGCUUUUGAAACUGAGUAGCUAGAGUGCAGGAGAGGUAAGCGGAAUGCCUAGUGUAGCGGUGAAAUGCGUAGAUAUUAGGAGGAACACCAGUGGCGAAGGCGGCUUACUGGACUGUAACUGACGUUGAGGCUCGAAAGCGUGGGGAGCAAACAGGAUUAGAUACCCCUGUAGUC